AUUUUUUAUUUUACUUCAGAGUUUUGAUCAGGAGCUUGAAACAUUCUACAUUUUCUGUUUCUUUUGGCAAUAAAAUUAAAUCUGGAGUGAAAGAACUGAGUAACCUACAGCAUAUCCAUUUGUCAAUGUAACAUCCUGAGGCUAUUCCCGCAUCUCAGUCCUGGUGUUGAGGCAAAGUGAGAUCUUCCUUCUUCUCUAGAGCAACAUUAAUGCAGACUGAUCACAUACGGAAAGCUGAAUGAAAAUGAAAAACUGCAAGAAAUUCUUUUCUCACAUAACGAAGCCUGUGGCAGAGUAGUUCCAGGAUUGGUGAAUUUUCCGCUAGGACUGUCAAAGUCCAAACUCCACUGAGGCAAGAAGGGGGAAAACCCUGUGAGAGAGACACAGCAAGAGAGAGAACACAAACAAAGGGAGUGACAGAGGGACCUGGGAUUCCAAGACCCUGGGAUCAUGACCUGAGCCAAAGGCAGAUACCCAACGACUGAGCCACCCAGGCACCACAUUUCUUUCUUUUUUUUAAGAUUUUAUUGAUUGAUUGAUUGAUUGAAUGAGUAAGUGAAUAAGAGUGCUUGUGAGUGGGCAGAGAGGCAGAGGAAGAGAGAGAAUCCCAGCCAGACUCCCUGCUGAGCGCAGAGCCCAACUUGGAGCUAGAUCCUGACCUCAUAACCUGGGCCAAAAUCAAGAGUCAGUUGCUUAACCAACUGAGCCACCCAGGCACCCCAAUUUUGUUCUUCCUAUAAAUAAUAUCCCAGGCUAUU